AGAGUUUGAUCUUUGCUCAGAUUGAACGCUGGCGGCAUGCCUUACACAUGCAAGUCGAACGGCAGCACGGGAGCUUGCUCCUGGUGGCGAGUGGCGAACGGGUGAGUAAUAUAUCGGAACGUACCCUAGAGUGGGGGAUAACGCAGCGAAAGUUGCGCUAAUACCGCAUACGAUCUACGGAUGAAAGUGGGGGAUCGCAAGACCUCAUGCUCAUGGAGCGGCCGAUAUCUGAUUAGCUAGUUGGUGGGGUAAAGGCCUACCAAGGCAUCGAUCAGUAGCUGGUCUGAGAGGACGACCAGCCACACUGGAACUGAGACACGGUCCAGACUCCUACGGGAGGCAGCAGUGGGGAAUUUUGGACAAUGGGGGCAACCCUGAUCCAGCAAUGCCGCGUGAGUGAAGAAGGCCUUCGGGUUGUAAAGCUCUUUUGUCAGGGAAGAAACGGUGAGGGCUAAUAUCCUUUGCUAAUGACGGUACCUGAAGAAUAAGCACCGGCUAACUACGUGCCAGCAGCCGCGGUAAUACGUAGGGUGCAAGCGUUAAUCGGAAUUACUGGGCGUAAAGCGUGCGCAGGCGGUUAUGUAAGUCAGAUGUGAAAUCCCCGGGCUCAACCUGGGAAUGGCAUUUGAGACUGCAUGGCUAGAGUGUGUCAGAGGGGGGUAGAAUUCCACGUGUAGCAGUGAAAUGCGUAGAGAUGUGGAGGAAUACCGAUGGCGAAGGCAGCCCCCUGGGAUAACACUGACGCUCAUGCACGAAAGCGUGGGGAGCAAACAGGAUUAGAUACCCUGGUAGUCCACGCCCUAAACGAUCUCAAGUAGUUGUUGGUGGAGUAAAACCCACGAGUAAACGCAGCCCACGCGUGAAGUAGACCGCCCUGGGGAGUGCGGUCGCACGAUUAAAAAUCAAAGGAAUAGACGGGGGCCCGCACAAGCGGUGGGUUAUGUGGAUUAAUUAGAUGCAACGCGAAAAACCUUACCUGGCCUUGACAUGCCACCAACGAAGCAGAGAUGCAUUAGGUGCCCGAAAGAGAAAGUGGACACAGGAGCUGCAUGGCUGUCGUCAGCUCGUGUCGUGAGAUGUUGGGUUAAGUCCCGCAACGAGCGCAACCCUCGCCAUUAAUUGCCAUCAUUUAGUUGGGCACCUUAAUGGGACUGCCGGCGACAAACCGGAGGAAGGGGGGGGGGACGUCAAGUCCUCAUGGCCCCUAUGGCCAGGGCUUCACACGUAAUACAAUGGUCGGUACAGAGAGUUGCCAAGCCGCGAGGUGGAGGUAAUCUCAGAAAGCCGAUCGUAGUCCGGAUUGUUCUCUGCAACUCGAGAGCACGAAGUCGGAAUCGCUAGUAAUCGCGGAUCAGCAUGUCG
rnacentral:rRNA from 1 species